rnacentral:rRNA from 1 species
UGCAGUUAAAAAGCUCGUAGUUGGAUUUCGGAGUGGGCCAGUUGGUCCGCCGCAAGGUGUGUUACUGACUGGUUUGCUCUUCUUCGCAAAGACUGCGUGUGCUCUUCAGUGAGUGUGCGUAGGAUUUACGACGUUUACUUUGAAAAAAUUAGAGUGUUCAAAGCAGGCUAUUGCUUGAAUACAUGAGCAUGGAAUAAUGGAAUAGGACUUUGGUCCCAUUUUGUUGGUUUCUAGGGCCGAAGUAAUGAUUAAGAGGGACAAUUGGGGGCAUCCGUAUUUCGUUGUCAGAGGUGAAAUUCUUGGAUUUACGAAAGACGAACAACUGCGAAAGCACUUGCCAAGAGUGUUUUCAUUAAUCAAGAACGAAAGUUAGAGGAUCGAAGACGAUCAGAUACCGUCCUAGUUCUAACCAUAAACGAUGUCGACUAGGGAUCAGCGGGCGUUAUCGUACGACCCCGUUGGCACCUUACGGGAAACCAGAGUUUCUGGAUUCCGGGGGAAGUAUGGUUGCAAAGCUGAAACUUAAAGGAAUUGACGGAAGGGCACCACCAGGAGUGGAGCCUGUGGCUCAAUUUGACUCAACACGGGAAAACUUACCAGGUCCAGACAUAGUGAGGAUUGACCGGGUUGAGAGCCCUUUC